GAUGAACGCUAGCUACAGGCUUAACACAUGCAAGUCGAGGGGAAACGAUAUUGGAAGCUUGCUUCCGAUAGGCGUCGACCGGCGCACGGGUGAGUAACGCGUAUCCAACCUGCCCAUCACUUGGGGAUAACCUUGCGAAAGUAAGACUAAUACCCAAUGACGUCUCUAGAAGACAUCUGAAAGAGAUUAAAGAUUUAUCGGUGAUGGAUGGGGAUGCGUCUGAUUAGCUUGUUGGCGGGGUAACGGCCCACCAAGGCGACGAUCAGUAGGGGUUCUGAGAGGAAGGUCCCCCACAUUGGAACUGAGACACGGUCCAAAACUCCUACGGGAGGCAGCAGUGAGGAAUAUUGGUCAAUGGGACGAGAGUCUGAACCAGCCAAGUAGCGUGCAGGAAGACGGCCCUAUGGGUUGUAAACUGCUUUUAUAAGGGAAUAAAGUGAGUCUCGUGAGACUUUUUGCAUGUACCUUAUGAAUAAGGACCGCUAAUUCCGUGCCAGCAGCCG
rnacentral:rRNA from 1 species